GACGAACGCUGGCGGCGUGCCUAACACAUGCAAGUCGAGCGGAAAGGCCCUUCGGGGUCCUCGAGCGGCGAACGGGCGGGUAACACGUGAGUAACCUGCCCCAGACUUUGGGAUAACCCUCGGAAACGGGGGCUAAUACCGGAUACGACACAGCUUCGCAUGGGGUCUGUGUGGAAAGUUUUUCGGUUUGGGAUGGGCUCGUGGCCUAUCAGCUUGUUGGUGGGGUGAUGGCCUACCAAGGCGACGACGGGUAGCCGGCCUGUGAGGGCGACCGGCCACACUGGGACUGAGACACGGCCCAGACUCCUACGGGAGGCAGCAGUGGGGAAUAUUGCACAGUGGGCGGGAGCCUGAUGCAGCGGCGCCGCGUGAGGGAUGACGGCCUUCGGGUUGUGAACCUCUUUCAGCAGGGACGAAGCGUAAGUGACGGUACCUGCAGAAGAAGCGCCGGCCAACUACGUG
rnacentral:rRNA from 1 species